rnacentral:lncRNA from 1 species
CAAGUAUUCAACAUCUAUCAACAAAACCUCAAAAGUUUUCAUCAAUCAUCCAUCAAGACAUAAAACUACAAAAGUUGCCAUUUCAACAUUCAUCUCAACAUCCACCAAGUCGAAGCAUAAAUGGUCUACAAACACAAAGUUACAAAGUGCAAACAUAAGUAGUUUCCAAAACACAAUAUCCAAACUUACUAGUUUUCAAAGCACAAACUCCAGACGUAAGUAGUCUUCAAAACACAAAGUCACAAAGUUCAAACAUAAUUAAAUAGUAUCCAAACACAUCUAAAAAUAAAUAGUCUCCAAAACACAAUUUAAAAAUAAGUAGUCUCCAAAACACAAAGUUUAAAGAUAAAUACUAAAUAGCCUUCCUCCACUCUAGCACUUCCACAAGCUAUCAACUUCAACUUCUUGUACUCCAACUGGGCAACUACCAUUCUACCAACUUCAACUUACCUAACAUUAGAACACUAAAACAAUUACAACAUUACAAUAAUUAAUAAUAAUACUAAGGUAAUCAUGCUAAGAACAAUUAAUAAUAACACUUUUCAGUUGAUAAAUUAUUUAGACCCUCAAUCUACGGAAUAAGCAAUUAAGCAUAACUUUACUUGUAAAAUUGACGAUUACUUGUAACAUAUUUCUUUUGACAUUUUUUUAACAUUUAAUUAAUUCUCAUUGAAAAUAAAAUUAAAAAAAUAAUUGUCAAAUUAGGUCCGAAGGGGUCAGAGCUCAAUUCUCAUGCUCACUAUAUUACUAAUUCUGAUUAAAUAAUGUAUGACUUGUUGGGUUGCAUUAUUAAGCAUAAAAGCAUUUUUUAAAUUGUUUAAUUAGUAAUCAAAUUGAAAUUUUACCAUGAAAAUUCGAAGAAGUCACAGCUGGCAGGCAAGGCUGGAUCUAAGAAUGUCGCGGACGAUCGAACUUUGAGGCACAGUCAUCGAUCGAGGUGCUUUGCAAGUGGCACGGUCGAAGUUAAAGAAGCUACUGGUGGGACGGUCGCGGUGGAGCAGUGGAGAUUUCACGACGCGGUUACUUGGCAGUAGUGAGAUGUCAGCGGUGGGUGGCUAGGUGUAGCGCUGACCCUGAGUUUGUGUGUGCUGCUGAGCUUGGGAGUUAGAUAGAGUGGUCUGUAUUGUGUUGUUUAGAAUUAAUUAGUCAGUUAGAUGGCGAUUAAGUUAAAAAAAAUUGUU